rnacentral:rRNA from 1 species
AAUGAACGCUGGCGGCGCGCCUAAUACAUGCAAGUCGAGCGAGAAGACGUAGCAAUACGUUUGUAAAGCGGCGAACAGGUGAGGAAUACAUGGGUAACCUACCCUCGAGUGGGGAAUAACUAGCCGAAAGGUUAGCUAAUACCGCGUACGCUCCUUGGACUUCGGUUCAGGGAGGAAAGCGAUACCGUGGGUAUCGCGCUCUUGGUUGGGCUCAUGUCCUAUCAGCUUGUUGGUGAGGUAACGGCUCACCAAGGCUUCGACGGGUAGCUGGUCUGAGAGGACGAUCAGCCACACUGGCACUGCGACACGGGCCAGACUCCUACGGGAGCAGCAGUAAGGAAUAUUGCGCAAUGGGCG